AUGCACAGCGUGGAGUUGCAUCUGUCAGGCUGUUCCUGUUACCCUGGUUGCUUUGUGCCCUGCUCCCCAGGGGCUGCAGAAAGUGAUUCCCCUGUCUGGGAAGGAGCAAGCCUUAUCCUCAUCCUUGUUCAUCUCUACCUGGGAAAGGCUUCUGUUUCAAUGAACUUUUCUUGACAAAAACGAAAAACAUGCUAUCAGAACUGGUCAGAAACUUUGCAAGUUUGCUGCGUACAUGCCUGUCCAUACUACCGUUUUUCCAUAAUAAGUAUAAAUCAGUACAUGCUUACAUUUCUUGUACAUCUUCAAACAGUCUGUCCCCUAACUCAAACAUGUAAAAGAGAGAAUAAAUAUCAGGCUCUGACUUAAUGGACUGUGUGG
rnacentral:lncRNA from 1 species